UACGUAGGUGGCGAGCGUUGUCCGGAUUUACUGGGCGUAAAGAGCGCGCAGGCGGUCGUACAAGUCGCGUGUGAAAGCCCCUGGCUCAACUGGGGAGGGUCACGCGAUACUGUUCGACUUGAAGGCAGGAGAGGGAAGUGGAAUUCCCGGUGUAGUGGUGAAAUGCGUAGAUAUCGGGAGGAACACCAGUGGCGAAGGCGGCUCUCUGGGCCCUACCUGACGCUGAGACGCGAAAGCGUGGGGAGCGAACCGG
rnacentral:rRNA from 1 species